UAGACUGCUGUACAGGAAGGCUGAGAGGACUGUUUUCUCAUUUGGACUGCAUCUUGCUUUUAUAAAAUCUUUGCUCCUCCCUUUUUGAUGUUCUGAAUUGCUUUGUCCAGGAGACCACUUACUGCUGUUGUUUCUGGUUACAUGCCAUCUUAAUUGAAUGGAAGGAUUCCUUCGCUGCUUAGCAAAGCCGGCAAAGUUAUUUUUUAGCCAUCAGAGACCAGGAAGGACAGAAGUCUGCUAAGAAACCCCUGUUAUGCUGCAUACCAGGCUGAAAAAUAGCUGUUUAAUAGGGAUGAACAAGGGCUGAUUGCAACAGCUUAUCGAUAUUACAGCUAAAUCUACUAACCACCAAGGUAUUCUUC